GGUGGCUCUGUGGUAGAGUGCUUGCCUUGCAUGCAUGAGGUCCUGGGUUCGAUUCCUCAGCACCA
rnacentral:tRNA from 1 species